rnacentral:rRNA from 1 species
GACGAACGCUGGCGGCGUGCUUAACACAUGCAAGUCGAACGGAAAGGCCCUGCUUUUGUGGGGUGCUCGAUUGGCGAACGGGUGAGUAACACGUGAGUAACCUGCCCUUGACUUUGGGAUAACUUCAGGGAACUGGGGCUAAUACCGGAUAGGAUCUCCUGCUGCAUGGUGGGGGUUGGAAAGUUUCGGCGGUGGGGGAUGGACUCGCGGCUUAUCAGCUUGUUGGUGGGGUGGUGGCUUACCAAGGCUUUGACGGGUAGCGGGCCUGAGAGGGUGAGCGGCGACAUUGGGACUGAGAUAAGGCACAGACUCCUAAGGGAGGCAGAAGUGGGGAAGCCUGCACGAUGGGCGGCAGCCUGAUGAAGAAACUCCGCGUGCGGGAUGACGGCCUUAGGGUUGUAAACCAAUUGCGCCUGUAACGAAGCGUGAGUGAAGGUAAUGGGUACAGAAGCACAGGCUAAAUACGUG